GGGAUUGUAGUUCAGUGGUUAGAAUGCCGCCCUGUCACGGCGGAGGUCGCGGGUUCAAUCCCCGUCAAUCCCG
rnacentral:tRNA from 1 species